rnacentral:rRNA from 1 species
CCUACGGGAGGCAGCAGUGGGGAAUAUUGCACAAUGGGGGAAACACUGAUGCAGCGACGCCGCGUGAGUGACGAAGUCUUUCGGUACGUAAAGCUCUAUCAGCAGGGAAGAAAAUGACGGUACCUGACUAAGAAGCUCUGGAUAACGCCGUGCCAGCAGCCGCGGUCUUACGGAGGGGGCACGCGUUAUCCGGUGUUACUGGGUGUAAAGGGGGCGUAGACGGCAGCACAAGUAGGGAGUGAAAGGCCAGUGCUUAACCCCGGAACGGCUUGUGAAACUGUGCAGCUAGAGUGCAGGAGAGGAUAGUGGAAUUCCUGGUGUAGCGGUGAAAUGCGUAGAUAUUAGGAGGAACACCAGUGGCGAAGGCGGCAAACUGGACGGUAACUGACGUUGAGGCGCGAAAGCGUGGGGAGCAAACAGGAUUAGAUACCCCAGUAGUC